UCGGAUUGUAGUCUGNAACCCGACUACAUGAAGCUGGAAUCGCUAGUAAUCGCGGAUCAGAAUGCCGCGGUGAAUACGUUCCCGGGUCUUGUACACACCGCCCGUCACACCAUGGGAGUCGGAAAUGCCCGAAGUCAGUGACCCAACCGUAAGGAGGGAGCUGCCGAAGGUGGAGCCGGUAACUGGGGUGAAGUCGUAACAAGGUAAC
rnacentral:rRNA from 1 species